ensembl:lncRNA
CAUUAUUUAUUUUAAAGAAGGAUUUUGCAUGAAAUCCAUGUUUUUUUCCAUGUUAUGUGUUGAUGAGCAUUAAGCUAAAGAGCCACAAGGUCAUGGGAGAUGGCCAGGUUGAGGGCAGUGGUAUGACCUCUACCAGAAGUUUGAGUAAUGCCCCAUGCAGGCACAUGAACAGACCUCUUUGGAGGCUCUUUGGCCUGCAAUUGUUGAUUCCACACCAAUAUGUCACGCUUUGGUGGAUCAAAGUUGACUUUGCUAAAACCCAACUUAGUGGAUCGGAAGACCCCCAGCCCCUCUCCUCCACCCUCUGCAUUCUCUCCUUCUCUUCCUAACCCUCUCCUCCUUCCUGAGGACUCCAUCUAUGGCCUUUGUGAGGACUGCCAUCACCCCUUUAUUCUCUGUGAGGAAACCAACCCCAGACACCACCACUUGACCGGCUCUUCACCCAUCGGUUGAUGGUGUGGAUGCCUCUACCACCUGUGAAAAGUGAGGGUUUUCUGUCCAGCUUGUGGCAAGAACCUGACAGGCUAUAUAUACACAAGUCUUGAAAUUAUUAUUUUUUAGUCAUCAACUAUGUUUUUGUCCUGUUGUUUUAUGUUUAAUAGACAAUAAUGUGCAAUAAUAAUUCCCCGCACUGCAUAGGAUACAUAAUGCAAUGACAAAUUCAUGGGCACAGUUUCCCUUAAUUACUUAUUAGUUUGUUUAGUUAGAUCAUUUACAAUUUGAAUAAGAAAACAACACCAAAAAACCUAGGGUAAUCAAAUUUUUUUUGUUGAUUACAUCAUAGAUAAUUUUUUUUAGGAAAUGGUCAGACUGGAAUAAAUAGCAACACAGUAGCGAACAGUAAAUUUAAAAAAAUUAACAGAGAGAGGAGCUUGGGUCAUCAGAUAGACUUGACAAAGUAAUGUCAUGGUCUUUCCCGAAGCCCUCGUCUUCUUCUUCCUUGCCUUCAUUCACAUCCUCCAGCAUGUCCUCUGUCUCCUUGGGGUCCACCGUCAGGGGCUUUCCAGUCAGACUCAGGAGGUAGUCAACACCAAACAGCUCUUUUAUGAAAAGGAACAAAGACACAUACACACAUGCAUUUAAAUGACUAAAUAUAUAUACAUAGAUGCAACUGUAAUCAGACUUUUAUAUUUGCAACUCAGUGUAAUGGGAAUAAAAGUGAUUAUUCACUCAACUCACAAUGCGAUACGAUUCAUGAUACUGGUUUUACAAUAUAAUAUUUUCCAAAUUUUUUUU